ensembl:snoRNA SNORA11G small nucleolar RNA, H/ACA box 11G
GGGGUGUGCUCAGAGCAGGAGGCCUGAAGAAUGGCUCCUCUGUUUACAACACACCCAACAGAAAUCUGGGUUUAUUCCUCACAGGUGGCAGAAUACUCGGGCCUUCCUGUGACUCAAUGCCCUAUACAU